GAGUCCUGGGGACUCUGGGGCUGAGGGGAACUCUCCCUCCCAUGCCUGGGUGGACUUCUCCGGGACCCCCGUUCCGGCGCCCGGAGCUCAGCCUUUGCCCUCUUCCGCGACCCCCGACCCGGGGGGGCGGUUCAGGCGCCCCUCCAACUCUUGACAAUCCCCCUCCCUCACCGGCUCGGGGUGUCCCUUCCCGCCAGCCGCCCCCUUCCCGUUCCCACGCCCCCUUGUUUGUAGCCCCUCUCGUCCCUUUCCCGUCUGCCUCUUUCCCUCGCCGUCCAUGGCCGUCCCUCAGAGACGUGGUCACCGUCUGGUCCGCAGUGUUUCCUCCUCGCCUCCGGUCAGGAGCUGACCCCCCCCCCAAUUUCCCCGCUCCCUCGUCCCUUUGACGACCCUGGUCUCCCCAUGGGUGCCUCGUCGGGCUCCCCUGGCUGUCAUGCCUUCUCCCACCACCCCCUUCCGGGCACUCCCACCCCCUGCUAUUCCGGGUCGUCCCCCCAACUCUGGCUUCCAUCUCCCAUUGUCUUUACCACCCCACUUCCAUCUCCUCACUUACCACGACAGCAACCCCUUUCUUUACCUCAGUCAGUGCUACCUCUCUUCCCACCAUCACGCCCCCCACCGUGGGUCGCACAGCACUCCCCGCUUAGUUUUUUUCUCCUAUUGUGUCCUGUGGCUCUCUUUAUCUCUUUGCUGUGUUAAUUUGGGGAUCCCAGCCUUACUCUGUCAGUCACUUCUGGAUUUGCUUGCCUCCCUCAUCCAGGAUCUUUCAUUAACUUCUCCUCUUCUGUCUUACACCCACCCCCUCAGGGAUUUCCCACUUCUUCCAUCCUAUAGAAAAGCCGUCUUUAAACUCAGUUCCCAAGAAGUAAAACCAAAUGUAAAGUUAUAUCUAGCUGGACUGUAG
rnacentral:lncRNA from 1 species